CUAGCAGAUCUAGGUGAGCAUGGCCAGAAAAUCUAGGUGGGCUUCCAUACCACAUCUAGGUGGGCUUCCAUAGCACGUCUAGGUGGGCUUCCCUAGCUCGUCUAGGUGAGCUUUGCUAGCACAUCUAGGUGGGCUUCCCUAGCACGUCUAGGUGGGCUUUGCUAGCAGAUCUAGGUGAGCAUGGCCAGAAAAUCUGGGUGGGCUUCCAUAGCACGUCUGGGUGGGCUUCCAGAGCUCAUCUCGGUGGGCUUCCAAAGCUCAUCUAGGUGAGCAUGGCCAGGAAACCUAGGUGGGCUUCCACAGCACGUCUAGGUGGGCUUCCCUAGCACAUCUAGGUGGGCUUCCCUAGCACGUCUAGGUGGGCUUCCCUAGCUCAUCUGGGUGAGCAUGGCCAGAAAAUCCGGGUAGGCUUCCCUAUCACAUCUAGGUGGGCUUCCAAAGCUCAUCUAGGGGAGCAUAGCCAGGAAAUCUGGGUGGGCUUCCCUAGCACGUCUAGGUGGGCUUCCAUAGGACAUCUCGGUGGGCUUCCAAAGCUCAUCUGGGUGAGCAUGGCCAGAAAAUCUGGGUGGGCUUCCCUAGCACAUCUCAGUGGGCUUCCCUAGCACGUCUAGGUGGGCUUCCAUAGCACGUCUAGGUGGGCUUCCCUAGCUCAUCUCGGUGAGCAUGGCCAGGAAACCUAGGUGGGCUUCCAUAGCACGUCUAGGUGGGCUUCCAGAGCUCAUCUUGGGGAGCGUGGCCAGGAAACCUGGGUGAGCUUUGCUAGCACAUCUAGGUGGGCUUCCCUAGCACGUCUAGGUGAGCUUUGCUAGCAGAUCUAGGUGAGCAUGGCCAGAAAAGCUAGGUGGGCUUCCAAAGCACAUCCAGGUGGGCUUCCAUAGCACGUCUAGGUGGGCUUCCAUAGCACAUCUGGGGGAGCAUGGCCAGAAAAUCCGGGUGGGCUUCCAUACCACGUCUAGGUGGGCUUCCAUAGCACGUCUAGGUGAAUAUGGCCAGAAAAGCUAGGUGGGCUUCCCUAGCACGUCUAGGUGGGCUUCCAUAGCACGUCUAGGUGAGCAUGGCCAGGAAACCUAGGUGGGCUUCCAUAGCACGUCUAGGUGGGUUUCCAUAGGACCUCUAGGACAGCAUGGCCA